GACGAACGCUGGCGGCGUGCUUAACACAUGCAAGUCGAACGGAAAGGCCCUGCUUUUGUGGGGUGCUCGAGUGGCGAACGGGUGAGUAACACGUGAGUAACCUGCCCUUGACUUUGGGAUAACUUCAGGAAACUGGGGCUAAUACCGGAUAGGAGCUCCUGCUGCAUGGUGGGGGUUGGAAAGUUUCGGCGGUUGGGGAUUGACUCGCGGCUUAUCAGCUUGUUGGUGGGGUAGUGGCUUACCAAGGCUUUGACGGGUAGCCGGCCUGAGAGGGUUACCGGCCACAUUGGGACUGAGAUACGGCCCAGACUACUACGGGAGGCAGCAGUGGGGAAUAUUGCAAAAUGGGAGGAAGCCUGAUGCAGCAACGCCGCGUGCGGGAUGACGGCCUUCGGGUUGUAAACCGCUUUCGCCUGUGACGAAGCGUGAGUGACGGUAAUGGGUAAAGAAGCACCGGCUAACUACGUG
rnacentral:rRNA from 1 species